GGGGGUGUAGCUCAGUUGGUAGAGCGUACGGUUCGCAUCCGUAAGGUCGUGGGUUCGACUCCCUUCAUCUCCACCA
rnacentral:tRNA from 1 species